AAAAUUAGUUGUAGUCAGUUCGAGUCUCUUGUUCGUGCCGUUCGCUUGUGUUUUCGAAUAUUGUAUCCGUAAAAUUCUUUGGUGCUACGCUAAAAUAUUUUUACAAGAUACAAACAGCUACAUACAUACCUAUAUGUAUAUAUGCAGAUAAAAAAAAAAAAUAGAACUGAAUGAGUUUUUAGUGAUUCUUGAAUACUAAGAAUUGAUAAAAUUUCGGUUUUGGUAGUGAACAUAAAAUGAAAACCGCCAGUUAAAAGUAAUACGAAGUGAGAAAGUGUUCGUUAACUUCGUUAAAGGCAACAAAUAACUAAUUUUUUGCAUGCAAAAAGUGAUUUCCACCUAGACAACAUACCUUUAAAAUUUGUAGAAAACAAGAAGAAGACACAAGCCGUAUCCAGCCGGAAACUUUUUGAACAAAAUUCUAUUUUGUCAUUCUAAUCUUCACAUUAACAAAGUGGUAAAACUUUGGUGGCGGUUUCUGUU